GCUCUUUUUCUCCCCGUUGGAUAACAGCCCACAAUCCCCCAUUUUCAAUCCCUUCCCAAGUCUCCUCCCUCCUCCUCCACCUCCGCCUCCGCCCAUCGCCGGAUGGAAGCUUCUCCGAUAUACUGUCUUCCCAAUGACACUUUCUAUCAGAUCUUCCUAUCCCUCCCUCUCCGUCAAAUUAUGAUCUGCCGUUGCGUCUGCAAGCUGUUUGACCAAAUUAUCUCAUCCCCUUUCUUCAUUGACCUCAUCUCCAUCCGUCCUCCUCUUCACCUCAUCGCCCUUCGGCCCCCGCACCACCACCACCACCACCACAGUCACGAGCGCCUCUCUGCCGCCGCCGCCGCCAAUUCUUGUCUCCACGUCUUUGACCCUGAUCAGAAUCAGUGGCUUCGAUUCCCCCUCGAUUUUUUGCCCUUUCGAUUCCCUCACCCUGUCGCGUCCUCUCUCGGUCUUGUUUAUCUCUGGGGCGACUCGCCGGAGUCUCCCGAGUCGAAUAAGUCGCUUGUAGUUUGUAACCCUUUGACUCGCCAGUUCCGGGUCUUGCCGCAGCUCGGCUCGGCCUGGUCCCGACAUGGCUCGGUUUUGGUUGACUCUGCUAAUAGAGUAAUGGUUUUGACGGAGCUUGCAGCUCUUUAUUUCUCUGGGUCGAAUCAGUGGAGUAAAUUCUCUUCUAACCUGCCUUCGAAACCUCGAAGUCCUGUGUUGGUUUCUAAAUCGGUUUAUGCUCUUUGUGAUGUGGGUUCUCCGUGGAGAAGCCAAUGGAAGUUGUUUGCUUGUACUAUUACUGAUCUCAAGAGCUCCCAGAAUUGGGGUCGGCUUGAAAGGCACGAAUGGGGGGAUGUUUUUGACAUUUUGAAACGGCCUCGUUUGGUCCGAGGGACGGGGAACCAAAUCUUGAUGGUGGGUGGGCUCAAAUCGUCGUUUUCGUUGACUGCUUCGUGCUCGACGAUUCUGAUUUUAAGGUUGGAUUUGGAUACAUUGGAGUGGGAUGAGGCGGGUCGUAUGCCUGUUCAGAUGUUUCAGUGCUUUCAAGGGUCAAGUAAGUUUAAGGUUUUUGGUGGUGGUGAUCGGAUUUGCUUCUCGGCGAAGAGAAUGGGGAUGAUGGCAUUGUGGGAUCGUUGUUCUGGAAAAGCAGAAUGGCGGUGGAUAUGUGGGGUGCCUGGAUAUAGCGAUGGGCUUUACAGAGGAUUCGUGUUCGAGGCAAGGUUCACGGCCCUGCUGCCUUAAGUUGCCUGCCUAGACGUGGUUUGCUUGCCAAGUAAAAUUAGUGUCGAAAAGGGGUGGAGGUUGUGAGAUAGGCCCUUUGUACCAUCAACAAUCCAAAAUUCGAGUUGGCUGACUUCUCAAGAGCGAAAUUAUUCAUCAAAAAGGAAGAAAAAAGAAUUUAUGGAGUAGGAUGUCUUCGAUGGAAUCACUAGUCUUCAAAUACCACGGCUCCCGACCCUCAUGGUUCCUCUUCUAAAUUCUUGAAAAGUUUGCACAACACCUACAUGUUUGAGAGCAUGACGAUGUUCUGUAUUUUUAUUUUUAUUUUUGCAGAAAGACAUCUCUAAUGCCAUUAUCAACUAGGGGUUUUCUCUCUUUUUCCCCCAAAAGUGGAUACCAAAAAUGUUAAAGAUUACACUACUAACUAGUGGUCCCUGUAAAACCGUGACUAAGGUGAUUGUUGAGAGGAUGAAGGAAAUUUUGCCCCAAGUGACUAUCGAACUUGUAAUGCUUUUGUAAGAAAUCAACAAAUGAUAUACUCCACUGAAAUGGCCGAUAAAGCUGUUGAGGAUUGGAAAA